rnacentral:lncRNA from 1 species
AAAGAGCUCCACAGACUCACAGGUGGCACCCGGCCAAUCAGUGAAUCAAGAUGUCUGCAGGGCUGCAGGAAAGAAGCUGUUCCGGGCCUCUCUGGAAGUGCCCAGCACCCCUGGCAUGCAGGCACGUCGCUCCAGCCCCUGCCCCUGUCCUCACACAGCCCCCUCCGUCUCCUUCGAUGACACUUGUCAUUGGAUGAGGGUGUGCCCGAAAGCCAGGAUGAGCUCAUCUCAGUAUCCUUAACUAAUAUAUCUGCAAAGAUCCCUUUUCCAAAUGAGGUCACAUUCACAAGUCCCAGCUGGACACAUGUUCUGGGGACACCAUUUGCCUCGCCACAGCAUCUUUCCACCAAGCAGGGUCUCCACCUGCACUGUGCCCUCCAGAUCUCCAAGUGCCCAAACCAGUGCUUGGCACACAGCAGGUGCCCAGUCAGUGUUUACUUAGUGAAUGAAUACAAGCUCAGUAAGAUGAGAAGGCUGGCCCACAGGCCAUAGCGGCCCCCAGGCUGUAACGUCC